AAACGUGGCCAACCUUCCCUGCGUUCUUGAUUCUCAGCAGGUUACGAAUUGAGUUGCGAUUUAAAAAUUCAUUCUUCUGGGGCCAUUCUGUGGUCUUCCUGCCUUUAGCCAGCUCCUUGCCCCGUUAAGGUUCUGCACCUGGUGGAGCGAUGCCAGUUUUGACCUUGACCUGUCCGAGUCCCUAGUGUCCAUCUCUUUUUGGGUCACUCGAGUCUUCCGUGAACCUGGACGAACAACUGCUGAUAUGCACCUCAGAGGCGCCCCUGGGCUCAGAUACGGUCCUUCUUCGUAUAGUGUGGUGACAUUUGGUCCUGGGCUCAGUCAGACCAGCCACAGCAGUCUGCUUCCUCUCUGGUUGAUUCAGGGGCGUGAAGAGCCCGGAAUGGUGGUGUGGUAGUUCUACUUUGAGUUUUCUAAGGAGCCUCUGCACUGGUUCCCACAGUGGGACAUUCCCACCAACACGCAGCAGGGUUCCCUGUUCUCCGCGUCCUCACCCUCACUUGUUCCUUGUGGACUUUGGUGACGGCCAUCUGGUCGGCGUGAGGUGCUGUCUCCGGGUGGUCGAGAUGUGGGUUCUCCUAACACUUAGCCCGACUGCCUUUUGUUUGACUAGGCUUGACAUCUAAACCGCCUUUCAUAUCUGGAAUCAGAAUGAAAAUUCUUUGCUGGGGCACAUUCGGGGUUAAAAAGAAAAAGCACCCUUAAAAAUCAGCCUGUGAGGUUGUGCUGGGUUGACCGGUGAGCUGAGACUGAGGACAUUUAAGGCGGGGGGCUUUGCUCUGGGACCCCGUAGGCCCAGCUCGAGGCAGCUGGGUGGGGCGCCCGCAUCCUGCUGAGCCCCUCAUUGUCUCCGGGGCACAACAAGAUUCACUUCAGAUGCAGUGCCUAGGUCCUCUGUACUAUCGGGGACAAUUUGACAUUAAUUUCUAAGAGGUGCCAUCUUUUAGCUCAGUGUUUGUCAUGGGUCACAUGAUCUCUGAUGACUAAGGUGACACUCAGGACAAUUUCAUGGCAAAUCGAGUCCCAAAUUAUAGCCCUUGAAGGGGUUUGCAUUAAUAACGGUCUUUAACAGCACAGCAGGGGGCCUGGCCACCCCCUGGGUUACACUGCACUCAAGUACUGUUACUAAUGUCGCAUUUCAGUAGGAACAAGAGGAUUGUGUUAUUAAGACACACGCUCUGAUCUUCUCUCGUGAAAACAAGCACUCACAUCACCAGAGACACCCCUGGAUGGUGGGAUAAUGAAGACAGGGUUAUUUCUGCCUGGAUGGGGUUCCCCUGUCUCUGAGUUAAGAAGCAUGACCCACUGCAUUGUACUUCUUAGCUGUGAGAGACCGGGGCCUCUGGUGUGAUAGAGUCUGAGGAAGUCUGGCCGGGUAAUUAGUGACGAGCCUCCCCCAUUGAAUGCUUUGCUGUCGGAGAGAUUUCAGGGUUCGGAUGCGCCUGCACAGAGCGGUAUGCUGAGUUUGGUGAGAUGCGGAGCUGGUCAGGCAGGUCAGCUGCGGCCCGCCUUCUGAGAAUCUGUUCUAGAAACAGAUAUUGACAUCGAUGUCCGCGUGGCCGGACAUGCAUUCGCAGUCCUGGAUGUGAAGGAGAAACAAGAAUCGGGUAAGAAAACUGACUGUGUCCUGUCAACAGACAUCACCCGGGGACUUGGGUAGUUUUUCAUACACUGAGGACGGGACGGUGGCUGGAUCCUUACAAGGUGGGGGCCAAGUUCACUCAUCCCACUCCAAGGCCACAUGAAAACAGUGCUCUUGGCCUCCCUCUGUGCGUGUGUGCUUUCUCUGGGUAGAGCGCACAUUUCUAACUCAUCUGAAAGAUGAAAUAGUGCCCACUUCUUUGCUAGGCUGGCUUUCUCUAGAGACUUUGGAUUCUCUGUUACGUGGCUAUUGAACCCAUGCACCCACUGAAACUCUAUCUGUUCUCCGCAAGGCCCUGUGCUGUGCGCUGGUGGAAAUGGGCACUGUGCGCACAGUCCAGAACUCACUGUCUAACAGUGAGGACUCAGCUGAGCGUGCAGAGCCCUGACCUGUGAUCAGUUGCCAGGACCCGACUCCUGGUGCUUGAGGCAAGGCCUUUUGAAGAGGCAUCAAGAAGGCAGCUAUACCCUGGCUGGUGCAGCUCAGUGGAUUGAACAUGGGCCUGCGAACCAAAGGAUCGCGGUUCGAUUCCUAGUCAGGGCACAUGCCUGGGUUGCAGGCUGGUUCCCAGCAGGGGACCCAUGAGAGGCAACCGUACAUUGAUAUUUCUCUCCCUCUCUCCUUCCCUUCCCCUCUAAAGAUAAAUUUUUUAAAAAAAAGAAGGCAGCCCAUCUGUAAGCCAAGGAGAAAGGCCUCAGAGGAAGUCAGCCCUGCGACGCCCUGGUUCUGGACUUCCAGCUUCCGGGACGAGUGAAACGCUCUCCCAGGAAUCGGCCGCACUGCGCCAGUGUCUCCUGCGCUGCCAGCCACACCCAGUGGAGGGCGGCUGAGUGGCACCCACGGAGGAGAGUGAGCCCUUUGGCAGGGAGGAGGGGGCAGGUAUGUUAGCGUGUGCUGGCUGGGCUUCGGGGACAGCCUGCUCGCUAUAAUCACGUCCCCACUGCCAUUCACCCAGCUGCCUCUGCUGCCCGGUGCC